CAGUCGCCGCGGGAAUACGGAGGGGGCUAGCGUUGUUCGGAAUUACUGGGCGUAAAGCGCACGUAGGCGGCUUGGUAAGUUAGAGGUGAAAGCCCGGAGCUCAACUCCGGAAUUGCCUUUAAGACUGCCGAGCUAGUAGGUGAGAGAGGUAAGUGGAAUUCCGAGUGUAGAGGUGAAAUUCGUAGAUAUUCGGAAGAACACCAGUGGCGAAGGCGGCUUACUGGCUCAUUCUAGACGCUGAGGUGCGAAAGCGUGGUGAGCAAACAGGAUUAGAUACCCCCGUAGUCCCUGUCUCUUAUAC
rnacentral:rRNA from 1 species